rnacentral:rRNA from 1 species
CGCAGCCGCGGUAAUUCCAGCUCCAAUAGCGUAUAUUAAAGUUGUUGCAGUUAAAAAGCUCGUAGUUGAAUUUCGGGGUUAGUAGGUUGGUCGUGCCAAUGGUAUGCACUGGCCUCACUGAUUCCUCCUUCUUGAUGAACCUUAAUGCCAUUAAUUUGGUGUUUUGGGGAAUCUGGACUGUUACUUUGAAAAAAUUAGAGUGUUUAAAGCAAGCUAACGCUUGAAUACAUUAGCAUGGAAUAAUGAAAUAGGACGUUCGGUCUUAUUUUGUUGGUUUCUAAGAUUGACGUAAUGAUUAAUAGGGAUAGUUGGGGGCAUUAGUAUUCAAUUGUCAGAGGUGAAAUUCUUGGAUUUAUUGAAGACUAACUACUGCGAAAGCAUUUGCCAAGGAUGUUUUCAUUAAUCAAGAACGAAAGUUAGGGGAUCGAAGACGAUCAGAUACCGUCGUAGUCUUAACCAUAAACUAUGCCGACUAGGGAUCGGGAUGAUGUUAAUUUUUUAAUGUACUCAUUCGGCGCCU